GAAAAAAUAAUUACAUUGAUCUCUUUAAUGAAAUCACAAUGAAAAUUAAAAAUAAACUUUUCAGAAUCCGUCAAGUAGAAAAAACAAUACAAAGCGGCUGGAUCCUAAGUUUGAAAGACAAUAAGUAAUCGUUUGAAUAAUUAUUACCAUUAAAUGUAAUACACUUCAUUAUAUACCAGACAAUAUGCUAAGGCAUUUAUGUGUGUAUCUAUUUUAAUCUUCUAAGAUCUCUAUUGCUGGUGAGGAGGCAGCUUAGAGACGUCUGAACUGAACAGCCACCGAGAGGCUGCUUGGAACAUCUGUCUGGAGACUGUAAUUAGUUGUUUCCCAAGAGUUUGGAUUAAUGUUUUUAAAACCAUUUAUUUUCUGAAUUCUUUCAAUGGUCAAGCUCUAAGCUCAGAUCAAUCUAUUAACGAAUGAUAAAUCUAACCUGUUUAACAUGUGAGUCAGUGGGAUCAGAGUUUGACUUGUGAAUGACACUACUUAUUGUCUGUACAUGUAAGCCUGUGGGGCAUUCCCAUUUCAGUUAUACUAAAUUUUUAUUUUUUUAAGAAGUUCAAUCUAAAACAGAAACACUGUAAGUAGGUUAGAAAAAUACCUAGAUUAGGCCAUAUUUGUAAAUAUCUAAGAAAAAUAAUAUCUAAAUAAUUUCAAAUAGUUCUUCGUGUAAUACAGGAAGCUUUCUUUAAUCAAAACCACGUAUAUUAUAUAGAGCAUACAGCCCAUAUUGUUCAGUGCAGUCACACAUUAUCAGCUGAAAGACAGUUAAUGUAUAUGCAGUUUUAUUGGACAAUGAGACAGCUGCAUUGCCUUAUCAUCAAAACAAUGGAAAAGAACUUCACUCAGAAUCAUAAACACAAAGCACAGCUUAGCACAAUUUAGAAUUGCAGAAUAACACACGUUUCAGAACAGAUCUGAGUAAACCUUCCGUUUUUGUUACUGUCAAUCUUCUGACAAGAACAGCUUGUCAGUUUUGUUUGAAAAAGUAGAAGUACUUUCAAAUGAAAGUUUCUGACAAAGCUGGCUUUAAAAUCAUUUUUUGAAUCUUGCUGUUUGACCAUUAAUCCUAUAUGUGAUUAUAUAUUGUGUAUACAUGCUUAUAUGCAACAAAUCACAUAUGUAUAGUAAAUUUACUGACAAUUUCUAUUUCUAGUUUUAACAAACCUUAGCU
rnacentral:lncRNA from 1 species